AACGAACGCUGGCGGCAUGCCUAACACAUGCAAGUCGAACGAGACCUUCGGGUCUAGUGGCGCACGGGUGCGUAACGCGUGGGAACCUGCCCUUAGGUUCGGAAUAACUCCCCGAAAGGGGUGCUAAUACCGGAUAAUGUCUUCGGACCAAAGAUUUAUUGCCUUUGGAUGGGCCCGCGUUGGUUUAGCUGGUUGGUAGGGUAAAAGCCUACCAAGGCGACGUUCCAUAGCUGGUCGGAGAGGAGGAUCAGCCACACUGGGACUGAGACACGGCCCAGACUCCUACGGGAGGCAGCAGAGGGGAAUAUUGGACGAGGGGCGAAAGCCUGAUCCAGCAAUGCCGCGUGAGUGAGGAAGGGCUUAGGGUUGUAAAGCUCUUUUACCCGGGACGAUAAUGACAGUACCGGGAGAAUAAGCACCGGCUAACUCCGUG
rnacentral:rRNA from 1 species